rnacentral:rRNA from 1 species
GAUGAACGCUAGCGGCAGGCCUAAUACAUGCAAGUCGAACGGUGUCUUCGGACAUAGUGGCGCACGGGUGCGUAACACGUAUGCAACCUACCUUACAUUGGGGGAUAGCCUUUCGAAAGGGAGAUUAAUACCGCAUAAGACAGUAGCUGGGCAUCCAGCAGCUGUAAAAGAUUUAUCGAUGUAAGCUGGCCAUGCGUCCAAUUAGCUAGUUGGUGAGGUAACGGCUCACCAAGGCAAUGAUUGGUAGGGGAACUGAGAGGUCAAUCCCCCACACUGGCACUGAGAUACGGGCCAGACUCCUACGGGAGGCAGCAGUAGGGAAUAUUGGGCAAUGGACGCAAGUCUGACCCAGCCAUGCCGCGUGCAGGAUGAAGGCGUUAUGCGUUGUAAACUGCUUUUAUACAGGAAGAAACGACUCUUGCGAGAGGCAUUGACGGUACUGUAUGAAUAAGCACCGGCUAACUCCGUGCCAGCAGCCGCCAGUAA